GACGAACGCUGGCGGCGUGCUUAACACAUGCAAGUCGAGCGGAGCGGCGAACGGGUGAGUAAAGCGUGAGUAACUGCCCCCCUCUCUGGGAUAACAGAUGGAAACGACUGCUAAUACCGGAUAGUGGGGGAUGACUCGCGUCCUAUCAGCUUGUUGGGGGGGUAGUGGCCUACCAAGGCGACGAAGGGUAGCCGGCCUGAGAGGGAGACCGGCCACAUUGGGCUGAGAGACGGCCCAAACUCGUACGGGGGGAAGCAGUGGGGAAUAUUGCGCAAGGGGGGAAACCCUGAUGCAGCAACGCGCGUGCGUGAUGACGGCCGGCGGGUUGUAAACCGCUUCCAUCCAUGACUCGGUAUUUGCAGAAGAAGCACCUGCUAACUACGUGCCAGCAGCCGCGGUAAUUC
rnacentral:rRNA from 1 species